rnacentral:rRNA from 1 species
UACGAAGGGGGCGAGCGUUGUUCGGAUUUACUGGGCGUAAAGGGCGCGCAGGCGGCUCUGAAAGUCAGAUGUGAAAGCCCCGGGCUUAACCUGGGAAUUGCAUUUGAUACUCUGGAGCUUGAGUACGGGAGAGGAGAGUGGAAUUCCCAGUGUAGAGGUGAAAUUCGUAGAUAUUGGGAAGAACACCGGUGGCGAAGGCGGUCUGCUGGGCCAAGACUGACGCUGAGGCGCGACAGCGUGGGGAGCAAACAGG